rnacentral:rRNA from 1 species
AGGGGAUUGCCUUAGUACGGCGAGUGAAGCGGCUAUAGCUCAAAUUUGAAAGCUGGCCCCUUCGGGGUCCGCGUUGUAAUUUGUAGAGGAUGAUUCGGCGAGGGCUCCCGUCUAAGUCCCUUGGAACAGGGCGUCAUAGAGGGUGAGAAUCCCGUAUGUGAUGGGCUGCCUUAGCCAUGUGAAUCUCCUUCGACGAGUCGAGUUGUUUGGGAAUGCAGCUCUAAAUGGGAGGUAAAUUUCUUCUAAAGCUAAAUACCGGCCAGAGACCGAUAGCGCACAAGUAGAGUGAUCGAAAGAUGAAAAGCACUUUGGAAAGAGAGUUAAAAAGUACGUGAAAUUGUUGAAAGGGAAGCGCUUGCAGCCAGACUUGUCCGCAGUUGCUCAGCUUGUCUCCUGACAGGCGUACUCCUCUGCGGACAGGCCAGCCUCAGUUCGGGCGGUCGGAUAAAGACCUAGGGAAUGUAGCUCCUCUCGGGGAGUGUUAUCGCCCUGGGUGCAAUGCGGCCAGCCUGGACUGAGGAUCUCGCUUCGGCUAGGAUGCUGGCGUAAUGGCUGUUAGCGGCCCUCAAAAAAAAAAAAAAAAACA